rnacentral:rRNA from 1 species
GGACUACUGGGGUAUCUAAUCCUGUUUGCUACCCACGCUUUCGCGUCUCAGAGUCAAGGGUGGCCCAGAAGGCCGCCUUCGCCACCGGUAUUCCUCCAAAUAUCUACGAAUUUCACCUCUACACUUGGAAUUCCACCUUCCUCUACCACCUUCUAGUCUAUCAGUUUCGAAUGCACUUCCUCGGUUGAGCCCAGGGAUUUCACACCCGACUUAAUAGACAUCCUACACGCGCUUUACGCCCAAUGAUUCCGAACAACGCUUGCCCCCUUCGUAUUACCGCGGCUGCUGGCAC